CGUUUCUUUGCUGGCGACCGGCGCACGGGUGAGUAACACGUAUCCAACCUGCCCUUUACUCGGGGACAGCCUUUCGAAAGAAAGAUUAAUACCCGAUAGCAUAAUGAUUCCGCAUGGUUUCAUUAUUAAAGGAUUCCGGUAAAGGAUGGGGAUGCGUUCCAUUAGGUUGUUGGUGAGGUAACGGCUCACCAAGCCUUCGAUGGAUAGGGGUUCUGAGAGGAAGGUCCCCCACAUUGGAACUGAGACACGGUCCAA
rnacentral:rRNA from 1 species